rnacentral:lncRNA from 1 species
AGGAGGAAAUUUUAUCAUAAAAGUGGGAAUUUUUAAGGUACGUUGAGGGAAAAAGCUUACUCGACAGCUGGCAACACGGGAAAAGUAACCUGCCUCCCUACCUGCCAAGCGGUGAUAAUUUGUGGUUAUGUCCUAUCCUAUGUUGAUAUUUUUUUUUGAGUUUUUUAUAACAUUUACCGUACAAUUUUACGAGAGUAUUACUUUAAUUACGAAGCUGAAGCUUUUUUUCUUCAGUUUUUCAUAGACCCACCUGCUUGUGGUGAUUAGGUACAGAUUGGUAUUCUUUUUGCUUUGGUGAAAUUGAGAGCUGAUAGACAAAACUGAGCAUCGGAAUCUGAAGCUAGCGGGUUUAAUGUAAGUUCCAAUAAAUAAUUGUAGACAAUAGAUUAUAUUUUAGUUGAGUGAUUACUGAAUAAAUAGUUAUAUAAAAUGGUA